rnacentral:pre_miRNA from 1 species
AUCAUCAAGAGAUCUUGUUAAAAUGCAGAUUCUGAUUCAGUAGUUCUGGGGUGGGAUCUAAGGUUCUGCAUAUUUAGCAAGUUGUCACAUGAUGCCUU